rnacentral:tRNA from 1 species
GGCGGAUGUAGCCAAGUGGAUUAAG